rnacentral:rRNA from 1 species
GACGUAGGGCGCGAGCGUUGUCCGGAUUUAUUGGGCGUAAAGAGCGUGUAGGCGGCCCGAAAGGUCAGCUGUGAAAACUCGAGGCUCAACCUCGAGACGUCGGUUGAAACCAUCUGGCUAGAGUCCGGAAGAGGAGAGUGGAAUUCCCGGUGUAGCGGUGAAAUGCGCAGAUAUCGGGAAGAACACCCGUGGCGAAGGCGGCUCUCUGGGACGGUACUGACGCUGAGACGCGAAAGCGUGGGGAGCGAACAGG